AUGAAUGGGCGGGCCUUGAUCCC
rnacentral:tRNA from 1 species